AUGACGUAUGAUCUAGUAUCCUAGUUUGUACCCUGGAAGAGCGAUUCCUAUCGACUACGAAAGAAAAUCUGAACUUGUCUAUCAAAAAACGAACACAAUCCACGAAUAGAAGGCUAGGACUGCUUUCGGGGUUCAGUGCUGCUGGGUCGAGAAGGCGACCCGCGGGAUACUGGACUUUUCGGUGGGCGCUCGCCUUGCCACCAAACGCACCACGAUGAACGGCGUACGGAGACACAAUGGCACUGCCGUACCCGUCCGAAAGUCGGCUCGAGGCACCGUUCACCCGAAGCGGUGACGUCUUUCGUGGCAGUUUCGCUCUCCGCAAGUUGGUGCAAGCAGGCUAGCUGGCGCGGAACGACGCACUUGGGGAACGCAACGACCUGGAUGUAAUCUGGGUGCCAGGCGCCCUGCUCCUUGUCGCGUGAAGCAGGCUUUAAAAUCAAACUGUGCGGGCUUUGAAAAGGCAACCACCACUGUGGGAGCGCGUCGAGCACUGGCCCAGCGUGCUUGACUCUUGACUAUGAAACGGUUCGUUCCGUUCAUCGAGCUAAACCUGCUGUUGACCACUUUUGGGCGUCGUCUUUUCCAGCAUGCGACAGAAGCGAAUCUCUGUGCAGUGUAGUGCGGGAAAGGCACGAGCGCUCCGUUCAGUUACUGGGCAUCUUCAGCAAAACGAAAAGGGCUCUUCUACGAAUAAACUUGUAGGCGUCGCAUGGUGAUCAUGAGCACCGUCGAAUGUACCGUAAUCACCGCUAGGCAGACAAAUGAUGACGUGGACGAUAGGGAUGGAGACCUGCUCCAAUCUCUAGACGGCAAUGCGCUCUUCAGCAGGAGAGCCAGAGCUGGACGCUUUCUGAACCACCUUCUGUGAGGUUUGGUAGCUUCGCAGCAUUGCAAGAUCCUCCUCAAGGCCAACGUCGUCCUCUGGAUAAGCAGGGCCACCAUGACGCGAGGUAUCAUUCCCAAGAAUUCCCACCUCCGGCGGGACGCGUAGCAGGCCGAGAAACCUGAGGAUCAAGAAGUAGCCGCCGAUAUUCAUUCCCACAAACGGCCAAACGUAGAGAAUCUCCGUCAGCUGAGCAGCGAGCUGCUUUCCAUAGCCAUAGAAUACACCCCCCUGAACCAUCGUACGAGCCAUAAACCAUGGCGACGGUAUCAGGCUUUGCGAAAAAGCCGGGAAUGAGGACGCACCGUGUGCCUCCGAACGCGUGGACGGUAACGGCGCCGAGCGGGUCAUCGAUACGCAGCCGCUGGAUGAGCUUAUCGCCGAAAACCCAAAUCCAUCCCGCAAUAACCCCGCAACACAGCGCCGAGUACGUCGGAAUGGUCGAACAGGGAGAUGUAACCGCCACUGUGUCGCUGAUAGAGCCAUUCACCAUGGAGGCGCAGUCAAAGUACUUGUCCACGAAUCGCGCGAUAAUCAGCGUCGUGAUCCCAGCAGAUGCAGAUAAAACGAGUGUGUUCACAGCAGCGAGCGCUACCUGACCUGCAUUCGAGU